rnacentral:rRNA from 1 species
CGCAUCUGUGCAUGCAGCAUAUCAAUAAGCGGAGGAAAAGAAACUAACAAGGAUUCCCCUAGUAACGGCGAGUGAAGCGGGAAGAGCUCAAAUUUGAAAUCUUAAAGGGUUUCCCUUUACGAACUUGUAGUUUAAAGAAGUGUUUUCUGUAGAGGUUUUUUGGUAAAAGUUCUUUGGAAUAGGACAUCAUAGAGGGUGAGAAUCCCGUAUUUGACCUUUACUUUCAACCUUGUGAUACACUUUCAAAGAGUCGGAUUGUUUGGGAAUGCAGUCCAAAAUGGGUGGUAAAUUUCAUCUAAAGCUAAAUAUUGGCGAGAGACCGAUAGCGAACAAGUACCGUGAGGGAAGGAUGAAAAGAACUUUGAAAAGAGAGUUAAACAGUACGUGAAAUUGUCAAAAGGGAAGCGUUUGACACCAGUGUUGUUUUUCUGAAAAUCAAUUAAAGAACUGUUUAUGCUAAGUUGUUUAGACUUUAUCAGCUAUCUGCUUAGUUUUGAGCUUUUCUUUAAUGCACUUUUCAGUUAACAAGUCAACAUCAAUUUCUUUUGCUGUAAAAAAGCUUGAGGAAGGUGGCUUGAGAUUCGUCUUAAGUGUUUAUAGCCUCUUGCCUAUGCAGUCGGAGAGAUUGAGGUCUGCAGCGUAGAUCCUUCGGGGCUAAAUGCAUUUGUGCUAAGUUAUAGCAUUUUAUAGACAACUUGUUGACUGAUGAUUUGUCUUGUAGCUUACUCGCUUAUGUCAUUUUACCUACGCUUAGGAUGUUGACGAGACUGUCGAUCUC